rfam:Rhizobiales bacterium TMED227 110065, whole genome shotgun sequence.
AGACUUUCUUUAGAUGUUAAUUAGCAUUAUUAUAAUAGAGCUUUCGAGCUAUGGUAAUAAAUUGGCGUCAAAAUAAACUUAUCGGACCCGGGGGCGGUACCCGGCGCCUCCACCAUAAAUACAUUAAAGGUAAUAGGAUGCAAAAAAUAAAGGAUAUUAUUAAAAUCGCUAUUGGAUUAGAAGUAAUUGUUAUUUUGGCGUUCUUAGUUGUUCUUAUGCUCCAAGAAAUGGAACUAAAAAACAUUUCCAUAGACGCUUGGCAAGAGAAAUUAGAGCAAAUCAAAUAGUGUAUUUAUGAUGGGGGCGAAAUAGGAUCGACGAGAGCGUAAAAGGCUACCUUUUACUCGGUAUAGUACCACCGUUAUCGGGCUAAACUUAUAGUUGCAAAUGACAACUAUGCUCCGGUCGCAGUAGCUGCAUAGUCAGCUUGAGCACCGAAACUUAAGCCCUUGUCUCUAGCAAGCCAAGGCGGGGUGUGGGGGCACCUGGCAACAGAACGCCCCUUUU